rnacentral:rRNA from 1 species
UCUCUCUGAAUCUGCGUACGGCUCCGCACACCAGUUGUAAACCAAAGCAAGCAAGCCCGGUCUCGACGCCUUUCGGGGCUAGGGGCCGGGCUACAAGGAUAACCCUGGUAAUUCUGAGGCUAAUACUUGACACAGAACCUGUCGACUGGGUCUCGGCCCGGGAAACAGGGGAUGUGCGACUAUCGGGCCAACAAAACCGGAAAGAGCGCACGUUCAGACCACUUAAAAAGGCCACGGGGUCCUUCGGGAUCUCGGGGCUGUGGCUCUUGCAGCGUGCUUCUGACCUAUCAACUAGACGGCAGCCUAAGGGACAUGCUUUGGUGACAACGGGUACAGAGGAUAAGGGUUCGAUCCUGGAGAGUGGGCCUGAGAGAUU